UCGUAGUUGAAUUUGUGUCUUGCUCUGUCGGUUCAUCGCUGACUGCGGUGUUUAACUGGCAUGGUGCGAGACGUCUUGCCGGAAGGGCAUGGUAUAUGUUUUAUUUGUGUAAAAUAUAAUAUAUGCACGGUAUUUAAUAUUAUAUAGUUAAUAGCCAUAUAAAUAUUAUUUUAUUGUUGUUUUAUAUUAUAUUGCGCCGGAUAAUAACGUGUACGUAGUCCGACUUUAUAAUCCUGUCGAGGUGCUCUUAACUGAGUGUCGUCGCGGGCCGGCACGUUUACUUUGAACAAAUUAGAGUGCUUAAAGCAGGCUAAUGUUGCCUGAAUAUAGUGUGCAUGGAAUAAUGAAACAGGACCUCGGUUCUAUUUUGUUGGUUUUCUGAUCAAACGAGGUAAUGAUUAAUAGGGACAGAUGGGGGCAUUCGUAUUGCGACGUUAGAGGUGAAAUUCUUGGAUCG
rnacentral:rRNA from 1 species